rnacentral:rRNA from 1 species
GAAUGCUGACAUAAGUAACGAUAAAGCGGGUGAAAAGCCCGCUCGCCGGAAGACCAAGGGUUCCUGUCCAACGUUAAUCGGGGCAGGGUGAGUCGACCCCUAAGGCGAGGCCGAAAGGCGUAGUCGAUGGGAAACGGGUUAAUAUUCCCGUACUUGGUGUUACUGCGAAGGGGGGACGGAGAAGGCUAUGUUGGCCGGGCGACGGUUGUCCCGGUUUAAGCGUGUAGGUGUGUGUUCCAGGUAAAUCCGGUUCACUUUAACACUGAGGCGUGACGACGAGGCACUACGGUGCUGAAGCAACAAAUGCCCUGCUUCCAGGAAAAGCCUCUAAGCAUCAGGUAACAUCAAAUCGUACCCCAAACCGACACAGGUGGUCAGGUAGAGAAUACCAAGGCGCUUGAGAGAACUCGGGUGAAGGAACUAGGCAAAAUGGUGCCGUAACUUCGGGAGAAGGCACGCUGACACGUAGGUGAAGUGAUUUACUCAUGGAGCUGAAGUCAGUCGAAGAUACCAGCUGGCUGCAACUGUUUAUUAAAAACACAGCACUGUGCAAACACGAAAGUGGACGUAUACGGUGUGACGCCUGCCCGGUGCCGGAAGGUUAAUUGAUGGGGUCAGCGCAAGCGAAGCUCCUGAUCGAAGCCCCGGUAAACGGCGGCCGUAACUAUAACGGUCCUAAGGUAGCGAAAUUCCUUGUCGGGUAAGUUCCGACCUGCACGAAUGGCGUAAUGAUGGCCAGGCUGUCUCCACCCGAGACUCAGUGAAAUUGAACUCGCUGUGAAGAUGCAGUGUACCCGCGGCAAGACGGAAAGACCCCGUGAACCUUUACUAUAGCUUGACACUGAACAUUGAGCCUUGAUGUGUAGGAUAGGUGGGAGGCUUUGAAGUGUGGACGCCAGUCUGCAUGGAGCCGACCUUGAAAUACCACCCUUUAAUGUUUGAUGUUCUAACGUGGACCCGUAAUCCGGGUUGCGGACAGUGUCUGGUGGGUAGUUUGACUGGGGCGGUCUCCUCCUAAAGAGUAACGGAGGAGCACGAAGGUUGGCUAAUCCUGGUCGGACAUCAGGAGGUUAGUGCAAUGGCAUAAGCCAGCUUGACUGCGAGCGUGACGGCGCGAGCAGGUGCGAAAGCAGGUCAUAGUGAUCCGGUGGUUCUGAAUGGAAGGGCCAUCGCUCAACGGAUAAAAGGUACUCCGGGGAUAACAGGCUGAUACCGCCCAAGAGUUCAUAUCGACGGCGGUGUUUGGCACCUCGAUGUCGGCUCAUCACAUCCUGGGGCUGAAGUAGGUCCCAAGGGUAUGGCUGUUCGCCAUUUAAAGUGGUACGCGAGCUGGGUUUAGAACGUCGUGAGACAGUUCGGUCCCUAUCUGCCGUGGGCGCUGGAGAACUGAGGGGGGCUGCUCCUAGUACGAGAGGACCGGAGUGGACGCAUCACUGGUGUUCGGGUUGUCAUGCCAAUGGCACUGCCCGGUAGCUAAAUGCGGAAGAGAUAAGUGCUGAAAGCAUCUAAGCACGAAACUUGCCCCGAGAUG